rnacentral:rRNA from 1 species
GACGAACGCUGGCGGCGUGCCUAAUACAUGCAAGUAGAACGCUGAAGGAGGAGCUUGCUUCUCUGGAUGAGUUGCGAACGGGUGAGUAACGCGUAGGUAACCUGCCUGGUAGCGGGGGAUAACUAUUGGAAACGAUAGCUAAUACCGCAUAAUAGCAGUUGUUGCAUGACAACUGUUUAAAAGGUGCAAUUGCACCACUACCAGAUGGACCUGCGUUGUAUUAGCUAGUUGGUGGGGUAACGGCUCACCAAGGCGACGAUACAUAGCCGACCUGAGAGGGUGAUCGGCCACACUGGGACUGAGACACGGCCCAGACUCCUACGGGAGGCAGCAGUAGGGAAUCUUCGGCAAUGGACGAAAGUCUGACCGAGCAACGCCGCGUGAGUGAAGAAGGUUUUCGGAUCGUAAAGCUCUGUUGUAAGAGAAGAACGAGUGUGAGAGUGGAAAGUUCACACUGUGACGGAUCUACC